ACGCCCGUGGCUCAACCGGAGAGAGCACCGGCCUACGAAGCCGGGGGGUGCAGGUUCGAAUCCUGCCGGGCGUG
rnacentral:tRNA from 1 species